rnacentral:lncRNA from 1 species
AACAGCCUCAUCAAAGGUGCCAGAGUAGUUGUGGAUGGUGUUGGUAAAACGUCAAGGUCAUAGAAUUCACUUAGCUUGAAACAGAGCAGACCUUCUCAGUCUUAAUACUACUGAUCUAUAUCUUUGCAUCAAGUGGUUGUUUUAUGACAUUGGCUACCUCACUGCUUCUAGUCAGCUGGAACCUAGCAGCACUCCCUGGGAUAUGACACCUCAGUUUCUCUUUCCUCAUUUGAGGAGUCACUACAGCAUUCCAGUUCAUAAACCUCAUCUAGAGGUACAGUUGAGAAGACUUAACUCUACGGUCUACAGAGAAGCCAAAUAUAGUCUGUGCAACUAAAGGUGGUGGCUUUGAAUGCUAAGGUGAUCAGCCUUUGGGAUGUGACUCAGUUCCUUUGGAUUGGCGUUAAGGCCCUGAACACAGACCCCGUCAUAAUUACUUCUCAAGAAGCAAACAGCUGCCUGCAUUGCAAGAGGGGACUCGAGGAGUGUGCUGAUGGACAAUCUGAUGGAGGGACCACUUUAGGUGUCAUUAUAUUGAGGCAUUCAUGGUAUACCUUAGAAAUAAUCUUUACGUUAAAAGAAUAAGUUUUGUGUGGGCUUUGGGCUGCCUAGAAUAACUGAAGGAAGGGAAUACCGGGUGCAAAAUUUGAAGAAUAGGUUAAAAAGUGCAAAGGGAAAUGGACCAGCAAAGGCAUCACAGAGUGGGCUGUUCACAGGGAGGAAUUCCUAAGCAAGGAGAACUCCCUAAUAAUUUACUCUUUGCUAAAACUACAUGAAGAAGGAUUGAUGGGGAAUGUACUGUGUAUGUUCAUCUUAUUGAUUAUUGAAUAAAGUACUUGUUUGGCCAAUGAGACAGCAAGUUAGACAGGACUAGGAGUCAAAGAGGAUUCUGGGAAAUGUAGUAGAGAAGUGGUGUUCCAGGCAAGAAGUGACAUAGCAAGGAGACUCAUAUUUAAGAAAGGAGAAACAGGAAGUGUCCCUUUUCCCCUCCGCUCCUCCUCCAGCGGCACAAUGUGAUCCACCGGCAAGGGAAGACACCAACGGAAGGUGUCCAAUAAGAUAAGUCUUAU